rnacentral:rRNA from 1 species
GACGGAGGAUGCAAGCGUUAUCCGGAAUUAUUGGGCGUAAAGGGUGCGUAGGUGGUCAGACAAGUCCCAUGUUAAAGCAUGGUGCUUAACGCCAUAAGAGCGUGGGAAACUGUCUGACUAGAGUACAGCAGGGGCAGGAGGAAUUCCCGGUGUAGCGGUGAAAUGCGUAGAUAUCGGGAAGAACACCAGUGGCGCAAGCGUUCUGCUGGGCUGUAACUGACACUGAGGCACGAAAGCUAGGGGAGCGAAAGGG